rnacentral:rRNA from 1 species
AGCUCUAGCCCACACCCCCCCNAAGUAUAGGAGAUAGAAAUUNAAUAUCAGUGGCGCUAUAGAGAUAGUACCGUAAGGGAAAGAUGAAAGAAAAUCUAAAAGUAAUAAAAAGCAAAGCUUACCCCUUGUACCUUUUGCAUAAUGACUUAACUAGUAAUAACUUAGCAAAGAGACCUUAAGUUAAAUUACCCGAAACCAGACGAGCUACUUAUGAGCAGUACCUAGAACGAACUCAUCUAUGUGGCAAAAUAGUGAGAAGACUUAUGAGUAGAGGUGAAAAGCCUAACGAGCCUGGUGAUAGCUGGUUGUCCAUGAAAAGAAUCUCAGUUCAACGUUAAAUAAUACUAAUAAGCCCAUGCCAAGCCUUAACGUAUAUUUAACCGUUAAUCUAAAAAGGUACAGCUUUUUAGAAAUGGGUACAACCUUAACUAGAGAGUAAAAUAAAACAUAAACCAUAGUUGGCCUAAAAGCAGCCAUCAAUUAAGAAAGCGUUCAAGCUCGACAACAAAACAAUGUUUUAAUUCCAAUAUUAAAUAAAUCAACUCCUAGCCUGACUAUUGGACCAAUCUAUAUAAACAUAGAAGCAACACUGUUAAUAUGAGUAACAAGAAAUUUUUCUCCUAGCACAAGCUUAUAUCAGCAACUGAUAGUAUACUGAUAAUUAACAGCAAAUAAAUAAAACCCAACACUAAAUUAUUUAUUAAGACACUGUUAACCCAACACAGGCGUGCAUUAAGGAAAGAUUAAAAAAAGUAAAAGGAACUCGGCAAA